rnacentral:rRNA from 1 species
GGUUUGAUCAUGGCUCGAUUGAACGCUGGCGGGAUGUUUACACAUGCAAGUCGAACGGCAGCACGGACUUCGGUCUGUGGCGAGGCGAACGGGUGAGUAAUGUAUCGGAACGUGCCUAGUAUGGGGAUAACUACGCGAAAAGCGUAGCUAAUUACCGUACGCUCCUCGUAGAAAGCGGGGACCUUCGGGCCUCGCAAUUAUUAGAGCGGCCGAUACCGGAUUAGCUAGUUGGUGGGUAACGGCUCACCAAGGCGACGAUCCGUAGCUGGUCGGAGAGGACGACCAGCCACACUGGGACUGAGACACGGUCAGACUCCUACGGAGGCAGCAGUGGGGAAUUUCGACAAUGGGGAAACCCUGAUCCAGCCAUCCCGCGCAAGGAUGAAGGCCUUCGGGUUGUAAAGCACUUUUGGCAGGAAAGAAACGGCACGGGAUAAUACCCUGCAACUGACGGUACCUGCAGAAUAAGCACCGGCUAACUACGUGCCAGCAGCUGGUGGUAAUACGUAGGGUGCAAGCGUUAAUCGGAAUUACUGGGCGUAAGCGUGCGCAGGCGGUUCGGAAAGAAAAGAUGUGAAAUCCCAGAGUUUGACCUUGAACCGCAUUUUUAACUACCGAGCUAGAGUGUGUCAGAGUGGAGUGGAAUUCGCGUGUAGCAGUGAAAUGCGUAGAUAUGCGGAGGAACACCGAUGGCGAAGGCAGCCUCCUGGAUAACACUUACACGCUCAUGCACGAAAGCGUGUGGGGAGCAAACAGGGAUUAGAUACCUGGUAGUCCGCCCUAAAUCGACGUCAACUAUUGCUGGGGCCUUCGGGCCUUGGUAGCGUGCUAACGCGUGAAGUUGACCGCCUGGGAUGGUCGCAAGAUUAAAACUCAAAGGAAUUGACGGGGACCCGCACAAGCGGUGGAUGAGUGGGAUUAAUUCGAUGCAACGCGAAAACCUUACCUUACCCUUGACAUGUCUGGAAUCCUGAAGAGAUUUGGGAGUGCCUGCAAGAGAACCGGAACACAGGUGCUGCAUGGCUGUCGUCAGCUCGUGUCGUGAGAUGCUGGGUUAAGUCCCGCAACGGAAGGCAGUCCUCGUCAUUAUUACAUGAAGGGCACUUAAUGAGACUGCCGGUGACAAACCGGAGGAAGGUGGGGAUGACGCUGUCCAUGGCCUCGGCGGGUAGGGCCACACGUCAUACAAUGGUCGGGACAGAGGGUCGCCAACCUGCCGAGGGGAGCCAAUCCCAGAAACCCGAUCAGUCCGAUCGCAGUUCGCAACUCGACUGCGUGAAGUCGAACGCGCAGUAAUCGCGACCAGCGUCGCGUAGGCCGUUCCCGGUCCUGUACACACCGCCCGUCACACCAUGGGAGUGGGUUUUACCAGAAGUAGUUACCCAACCGUAAGGAGGGCGAUUACCACGGUAGGAUUCAUGACUGGGUAUGAAGUCGCAACAAGGUAGUUCGCCACAGGCCCGCCGCCGCCC